AGCUCAGUUGGAAGAGCAAAAGACUGAAA
rnacentral:tRNA from 1 species